GAUGUCGAUAUACGACUUCAUAAACACCAUCAAAUUUGAUGGGGUUUAUGACGUCCAAUAUCGACGUCAUAUACACCAAACUUGAUCGUGUUUAUGACGUCGAUAUUCGAUGUCAUAAAAACGAUCAAAUUUGGUGUUUAUGACGACGGUAUACGACGUCAUAAACACCAUAAAGUUUGGUGUUUAUGAUGUCGACAUACGACGUCAUAAACACCAUCAAUUUUGGUGUUUAUUGCGUCAAUAUUCGACGUAAUAAACAGUAUGAAGUUUGGUGUUUACGACGUCCAUAUUCGACGUCAUAAACAUUAUCAAAUUUGGUGUUUAUGACGUCGAUAUUCGACGUC
rnacentral:miRNA from 1 species